rnacentral:sRNA from 1 species
UACAACUGAACGGCUUACAAGGGCGGUCGGCUAAUCUCCCAGAAGGGAGGUGAUGCCGUGGAGGUUAAGGAUGCCUUGACGCUUAUGAUCGGUUUCGGUUCUUUGCUUAUUGCAGUGCUGACGCUGGUCAUAACCAUCGUCAUCGCACUUAUCCAUAACACAAAGAAAUAGACCGCCCUCUGCAAAGGUAAACCGGUCUAUUUCCUGAUCGUUUAACCCAAAGCCGACCGCUCUUGAAGCGGCUGUUGUACAAGGAGUCGGUUGCCGCCGGCUCCU